UGCAGGCAGACUCAUAAAUUCCUUUCCCUUCCCCUCGCUGCUGGCUGUGCUUGAGGAGGGGCUGGGCCGGUCCCCUCCACACCCUCAGCCUAUCCGUCCGGAAGUACUGAGUCAACAGCCAUUCCCAGAACCCACCUUACUUUCUUCCCACACCUGCAGCGCGGACUGUUCCAGGAAUGAGGCGGGGCAGGGAGAGAGCAAGCAUAAUAGACAAGGAUGUGUUAUGAGUUAACUCAAAUUACUACACAACUGCACAAGCUAAGCAGGACAGAGUGGAAGCUCGACUGGAGAGUCAUGGAAUGAUCUGGUAUGAACGGCCUCUCCGUGUUGGACAGGAGAAAAUGUUUGUGACCAUGACAGUCCAUCUCAAUUUGGAUUCGGCUCAUUUCAGUGCUCAAGAACCACACGUGCCAGUGGCUGCAGUGUCUAACCCAUCACAGAACAGCUGGAAGAAUCUUUGAGGACCCCUGCUCCUCGGCAGGCAAUAACAUCUUCUUCCUCGACGGCAGACCACUGGCUCUCCAACUCUCCCACUACCUUAUCUAAUAGGCACUGGAUGCCAUGAAAGAAUGAAUAAAUGAAUGAAUUUAUUUCUAAUUUACUAUCAUGCCCCUUAAAUCAUCCCAUCUAAGACUGUCAUUUAAACAUUAAGGCCUGCCAACAGCAACAUGCAAUUUUAUUGAAAUCUGAAAAUAAACUUUUUUUUUAAGGCA
ensembl:lncRNA